CUAGAAGCCGUGCUCUUUGGGUUUUGGAGCAAGAAACAAGGAGGAAACCUGUCUGCCAUAGACAAGCCUGUUCUCAGUAGAGCAGAGGAGAAUGCCCUGUGUGUGAGACAUGUGGCUCUGGAUCUACAUGUCUAGUGAUGCCCUUUGACAUCCUCUGAUGACCAGUGCUGCCCUCUGAUGACCAAUGCUGCCCUCUGAUGACCAAUGAAGACCUUGAUGAUCAAUGACACCCUCUGAUGAUCAAUAAAUCCCCCCAGCAAAGCCACACUCUCUGUGUCUGUGUCCUUCUUCCCAUGCUCAGCUGGGACUGCACAGAUCUCUCCCCGCCUGGCAGUGGCCGCCCCAAAGCUUUAGGAAGGGUCCCCAGCUCCGUGCCACGCUCACCACGUCCUACGCCCCCGUGGGCUCCCCCACCCUCUCUCACCAUCUCCUCCCAAAUCCUAAAGGAUGGA